rnacentral:tRNA from 1 species
UCCCCGCUAGCUCAGUUGGUAGAGCGCUGCACUGGAAAUGGAGAGCUCGCUGGUUCCAGUGUGUCGAA